rnacentral:misc_RNA from 1 species
CUUGGGAAAAACAUAAACAAAUUGUGCAUGUUACUUUACUAUUACCUGCAAUAGUUGACUGAUUUACAUUUCAUAGGGCACAACCUUUAGCUAAUUUAUUGGGUAUAUCUAAUUAAUUUCUUAUGCGAAUAGAGAUCUGCGAAGGAAGACCAUAACCCACUUCCCAGUUGUUGCUAUUCCAAUAUUUUCUUCAUCUCCAAGUGAUCUUCAUCAAAUCAAUUCCAACUAGUGAACUAGAUCCUCAUGGAUUCCCCUCAUAAACCAAAGUCUCUCUCCACCAAACUCUUUUUCCUUUUCCUUCUCUUGUCCACAAAUCUACUUACUUUGUUCCUUUCCUCCACCUUCUACUCCUCUUGCUCUCUCAACCCCCUCACCACCGCCACCACAGCUGCUGCCACUUCUAUUACCACCAUAGAUACUAGUUCUACUAACUCUGGCUCGGCUACUAAAGGAUACGAUUUUGAUUCCUCUCAAGACCUCCCAUCUGAAUUCCUGGCCUUCACUUCUGGCCAAGUUCUUCCAUUUGGUUUCAACACAAACUUUGAUUCUGACACCAUCUACCCACCAGUUGGCAAAGCCUGCACUCUCUUUCCCAAUGAACUCCACCGCUUCAUGACCUACAAGGUAAAUGGAUCCUGCCCGGAUGAUGAGUUUCUAGCACAAAAGCUGCUCCUCAAAGGCUGUGAGCCUCUCCCUCGCCGCCGUUGCCGGCCAGCUGCGCAGCCAGAUUAUGAAGAACCCUAUCCUCUGCCUACCAGCCUAUGGACCACGCCCCCAAAUUCAUCAGUCGUGUGGACUGCCUACACCUGCAAAGAUUACUCAUGUCUCAUCAACCGGUAUCGAACGCAAAAGGGCUUCGAUGAUU